rnacentral:rRNA from 1 species
UUAGAUACCCUGGUAGUCCACGCCGUAAACGAUGUCGACUAGCCGUUGGGUCCCUCGCGGACUUUGUGGCGCAGUUAACGCGAUAAGUCGACGCCUGGGGAGUACGGCCGCAAGGUUAAAACUCAAAUGAAUUGACGGGGGCCCGCACAAGCGGUGGAGCAUGUGGUUUAAUUCGAUGCAACGCGAAGAACCUUACCUACCCUUGACAUCCUGCGAACUUGGUAGAGAUACCUUGGUGCCUUCGGGAACGCAGAGACAGGUGCUGCAUGGCUGUCGUCAGCUCGUGUUGUGAAAUGUUGGGUUAAGUCCCGUAACGAGCGCAACCCUUGUCCUUAUUUGCCAGCGGGUAAUGCCGGGAACUCUAAGGAGACUGCCGGUGACAAACCGGAGGAAGGUGGGGACGACGUCAAGUCAUCAUGGCCCUUACGGGUAGGGCUACACACGUGCUACAAUGGUCGGUACAAAGGGUUGCCAACUCGCGAGAGUGCGCUAAUCCCAUAAAGCUGAUCUCAGUCCGGAUCGGAGUCUGCAACUCGACUCCGUGAAGUCGGAAUCGCUAGUAAUCGUGAAUCAGAAUGUCACGGUGAAUACGUUCCCGGGCCUUGUACACACCGCCCGUCACACCAUGGGAGUGGACUGCACCAGAAGUGGUUAGCCUAACCUUCGGGAGGGCGAUCACCACGGUGUGGUUCAUGACUGGGGUGAAGUCGUAACAAGGUAGCCGUAGGGGAACCUGCGGCUGGAUCACCUCCUUAAAC